GGGGCAAUGGGGGUUUCGGGAUGGGGACAGUCCCAAUGUUCCGUGAAAUGGUCUCAGCCAGGGAUGGUUAUGGUUUGGGGGGUUGGGAAAGGGAUUAUGAUUUUUAUGGUGGGCAAUAUGAACAGGCAUAUGCGAAUGACAUGCAAUUUUUCCCCAUGAGCAGGCAAUGGGUAAGGGGAGGGAGGUCUAGUCAGUGGGAGGAUUAUAGGCACAAUGGUAAUGGGAUGCCGAGUUUCUAUUUCAGAAAUAGAGAAGAGGAGGAGAGCUGGCGGCAAUGGAGGAAGGAAAAAGAAAGGAGGAUGGAAGAAGCAGGACCUUCUCGGAGACCUGGAAGUGGAACGGGACAAUCGGCACAGAAGGAGGUGGCGGUUUCACAGGAAGUGAGAUCGGCAGGAGGCGUCAGAGAUGCAUCUGUUGGUGAGUUGAAUGAGCAAAAUGUUUUUGAUUCUGAAACAGAUUCAGAUGACUCAGAGAAUGGGACAGAGAGUGAGAAAUUUUUAGCAGUCAUGAAGCGGUAUUUUAGAAAGAGUAUGGGGGGGAAGAUAGUACAAGAAAGCGGAGUAGUAGGUUCGGUUAUGGGGGCAGCAGACACAUAUGCUUGUGCUUUAACGGACACAUCUGCUCAUUUGCCAAGAAAGGUAGUGAGAAAUAUAGAAGCAGGGAAAUUUGUGGAUAUAUAUGAGAUAACGAGGGAGGCAGUGCAGUCCAAAGAAGAGGGCGAAAAAACAGUUGAAAAGGGCAGAAAGAAGUCUAUUUUUGAUUGGUUGAAAGGGUUUUUCGUUUUUGCUAGCUUGUAUUUAAAGAAGCAACCAGAGCAGGGCUUGAACGUGAUAAAAUAUAUGGAUACGAUAGUGGAUACAUAUUUGUUUUACAAGGGGUCAUCCUGGUUUGAUUAUGACAGAGCUUUUAGGAAGAAGAUGGUCAGUUGUAAGAUGUUGUCUUUUGGGCAGAAGGAUAUUGAUUUGUGGACUAGAUGGGUUUCCAGGGAAGGUAACGCAGUUGGCAGUGUCAAAGUGGGAUCUGCAUUUAAACAGAGGAAUGUAUGUUUUGCGUACAAUGAGAGGAGAUGUAGUAGGGGAUUUGCGUGCAAAUUUAAGCAUGCAUGUUUAUCAUGUGGAGCUUCGCAUGUGGUAGGUGAUUGUUUGAAGAAGGGGGAUAAUCAGGGAUUUAGGCAGCCUUUUCGAGCAGCUACACAGAAGAGCGGAAACGCCAAUUCAGACGGAAAGGCUAAGUGAGGCUUUGGCAAAUUAUCCAGACAGGAAGACAGCAGAAUUUUUGGAAAAAGGUUUUAUAGAAGGUUUUAGGAUACCAGUGUUAACCCCCCCCCCGCCAAACGAGAAAGUAAAAAAUUUGAAAUCAGCUAGUAAUCACCCAGAGGCACUGAAACAAAAGAUAGAGAAGGAAGUGGGCUUGGGUAGGAUGGCAGGCCCAUUUAGGGAGAAGCCUAUUGCAGAUUUGGUGGUGUCACCAUUGGGAAUAGUACCGAAAAAGGAGACAGGGAAGUUCAGAAUGAUACAACAUUUGUCAUACCCAGAAGGGGGAUCGGUCAAUGAUGCUUUGGAUAAGGAACAGUGUAGGGUACAAUAUCAAUCAUUUGAUGAGGCAUUGGAGGAAGUGAAGAAGUUAGGGGGAGGGGCAUUGUUAGCAAAAGUGGAUAUUGAAUCUGCAUUCAGGUUGUUACCUUUGCAUCCAGACAGCUUUAAAUUAACCGGUUGUUGUUUUCAAGGAGAAUUUUACGUUGAUCUUUGCUUGCCAAUGGGUUGUGCCAUUUCUUGCUCUUAUUUUGAGAUGUUUAGCACGUACUUGCAUUGGGAAUUGGAUAGAAGGACAAGGAACGGAGCUACAGCACACUAUUUGGAUGAUUUCUUGAUUAUGGGACCUAGCAAAUCUGAUAUCUGUAAGAAUAAUUUGAGGAUAUUUUUGCAGUUGCUAAGGGAGCUGGGAGUGCCUGUGGCGGAGGAAAAAACAGUAGAGCCAACCACAAGACUGAUGUAUUUGGGAAUUGAAAUAGACACAGAGGCUAAAGAGUGCAGGUUGCCUAAGGACAAGGUUAAAAAGAUGAGACAAGAGGUCAGGAAGGUGUUAUCGGCAAAUAAGGUAGCCUUGAGGGACAUGCAGAAGGUCCUGGGCUUGUUGAACUUCGCCUGUAGGAUCAUACCAAUGGGCCGUGUUUUUAAUAGGAGGCUAGAGAAAUCUACAGCAGGAGUUAAGAAGCCUUUUCACAAAAUAAGGGUUACAAAGGAGUUGAGGGAAGAUUUGGUCGUAUGGGAUAGUUUCUUAGAGAAUUUUAAUGGAAUUCGUUUUUGGAGAAAGGAGGUUCAGGCUAAUCAGGAAAUAAAGUUGCUUACGGAUGCGGCAGGCAGUAUUGGAUUUGGUGCUUAUUUGGCAGGGCAAUGGUGUGCGGCAAGGUGGCCGCGGGCUUGGCAGGAGAGCGGUUUGACAAAAAACUUAACUUUGCUGGAAUUAUUCCCCAUUUUGGUAGCGCUAGAAUUAUGGUCGAAAGAGUUGGAAAAUAAGGCAAUUAAGUUUCUUUCUGAUAAUAUGGGAGUAGUUUAUGCGGUAAACAACUUGUCGUCAGAUUCCAUGCCUGUUAUUCGCUUAUUGAGGCAUUUGGUGCUGGUGUGCAUGAAAUUUAAUAUAUCUUUUAGAGCACAGCAUGUCCCAGGGGUGCAAAACACAUUAGCAGAUGCACUGUCAAGGGAAAAGUGGGAUAUUUUCUUUAAACUGGCACCGAAUGCGUCAAAAAUAGCUCAUGCAUGCCCUGAUAAUCUGUGGCAGUUGGUGACCCAAUCCUAGAAGAUCUAUUUGAAAGGUCGGUAUCAGAAAAAACUGUUUCUACCUACAAAAGGGAAUGGGAAAGAUGGCAGCUAUUCUGCAAGGAUGCAGGGGGUACAACUCCUUGCAGAAUCGUGAUCAUAGGCCAUUCAUUUGUUUAUUGGGCAAGCAAACAUGCAGCAGGGCAAGAAUGGGGGUUACCGGAGGAAAACAUGAAGACUGCAUGGCUGGGCUGGAGAGGUAUGAGGUGGGAACAAUUGAAAGGUAGGUUGGUCUCUACCCUCCGGCAAUGUGAAUUUGUUGAUCUGCUAGUGAUACAUGCAGGAGGAAAUGACUUGACAGUGGGAAAGACUCCAGCACUAAUAGAGGCCAUGAGACAAGAUAUGGAGGAGGUGAUAGGAAACCCGAAGGUGAGGAAGAUAGCAUGGUCGGACAUUAUACAAAGGGGAGAAUGGAGAGGAGCAAUUGACCCUAAAGGUGUGGAGAAAGCAAGGAAGAAAGUAAACAGAGCCAUGCACAAAAUCAUGUAUUCCUCCGGUAAUGGGAUAAUAAGGCAUGAGAAUAUAAAAUACAAGCAAAGAGGUCUUUAUAGAUACGAUAGAGUGCAUUUAUCACGAGAGGGUUUGGAUUUGUUUUUGAAAAACAUUGGUAAUUUUGUGGAGGAAUGGUGGAGGUCACAGGCCAGAUAGGUGGGCCAUGGAAAAAGGGAUAGUAGGCACCCUUCCCUAUUUUUCCAGUGGGUGGCGUCAGCACGGCUCCGGAAAUGGUGAGAUUUACAGUGCAGGCCUACCUUUGGAGAGUCACUAGCGUGGAUCAGACUGAGACUGCACGGUCUUGUCUGAGUUCAGCUGAGAGGCUGGGUUAGCGCCACUAUUGCACAUGAUAGGGAGCAAGAGGAUGGGUAACCGUAGGUCACAGAGUGCGUUUUGCCCUGAAUCUCUGCUCCCUGUAAGUCGGUAAAGGUAUGGGCGGAGGCCCAGAGGAAAUGAUAGGAGCCGCAGCUGUGGGUCAGGGGUGCCUAGUCCUUUUGUGAAUUUGUAAAUAAAGAACGUGACCUCCACAGAUUUUGCCACUAUUCAUGUGUUUGUGUUUUUAUUUAAUUGAAAUGUUAUGAUUCAGUUAAGGUAAAGUUAAAAGAAGGGAGUAGGGGGAUCCUUAGCCUAGUGGGAAAGAGGCCCCUUAGUGGGGCCGAAUGAAUUUAGGCUGGGGCCCCCUCCCCCUGGUUGUACGGUUUUAGGCACUCCUCACUCCUACCCCUCCCACCCCCCUUUUGGCUAGAACAAUGGGCUAGUAAGUCUCGGCGGGAAAAAGGGGGGCGGGAGGAGGGAGCUGAGGGGAGUGCCGUGGGGGUGGUUUAGGGGUUAAAAGGAGAAACAGAGCAGGAGAGCGGGCAUUAACUGUUGUUUUUUGUCUCCCACCCUCCCACCCUAGGAGAAGAUGGAAGCGAAAUAUGGUACUCCAGGGUUCUUGGAACCGAUCGCCUUAGAGGGGUCAGGAAGGAAUUUUUCAUCAGGAUGCAAAUUGGCUAUAGGCUCCUGAGUUUUUUGCCUUCCUCUGGAAUGCCAUUAUCUGUGUAGGUCAAAGAUAGUUGUUCCCCUGACGCAGCUGCGGUUCCACAUUGGGCGUCAGCACGGCUCCGGAAAUGGUGAGAUUUACAGUGCAGGCCUACCUUUGGAGAGUCACUAGCGUGGAUCAGACUGAGACUGCACGGUCUUGUCUGAGUUCAGCUGAGAGGCUGGGUUAGCGCCACUAUUGCACAUGAUAGGGAGCAAGAGGAUGGGUAACCGUAGGUCACAGAGUGCGUUUUGCCCUGAAUCUCUGCUCCCUGUAAGUCGGUAAAGGUAUGGGCGGAGGCCCAGAGGAAAUGAUAGGAGCCGCAGCUGUGGGUCAGGGGUGCCUAGUCCUUUUGUGAAUUUGUAAAUAAAGAACGUGACCUCCACAGAUUUUGCCACUA